CCCUUAGAUGUUCUGGGCCGCACGCGUGCUACACUGAGUGGAUCAGCGGGUCAGGUUGCGCGAAAGCGUUUCCUAAUCUUGAAAUCCGCUCGUGAUGGGGAUUGACGGUUGCAAUUUUCUGUCAUGAACGAGGAAUACCUUGUAAGCGCGGGUCAUCAUCCCGCGCUGAGUACGUCCCUGCCCUUUGUACACACCGCCCGUCGCUCCUACCGAUUGAGUGGUCCGGUGAGGCUUUGGGAUCUGAGCGGAAAGAGCGUUUCGCUCGUUCUGCCCGGAAAACUCAGUCGAACCUUAUCAUUUAGAGGAAGGAGAAGUCGUAACA
rnacentral:rRNA from 1 species